UCGAAAUUCGAACUUUUUGUACUUCAAAAAUUUACUCAAACUUAGUAAAUCUGCCCCUGAGUGUGAGUUACAUUUUAGCCAUUAAUAUGAAUGAUAACAUAAAGAUCUUAAAUAUUACAGGUCUAUAACUAAAAAAAAUAACAACAGUGUCCAAUGGCCAACAGUCUUAGACCCUGAACUGGGUGGGGGGCUAGUGGUAUUCAUAGCAACAAAAAGGUGGGGUAUCAAGCAAUACAGAUAGAUGAAUAAAUCCAUAAAGAAGAAAAAGUACUAAAAUUCAUAUGGUUUGAAUAGGAUGUGAAGGAGACCAUGUACUUAAGCUGGAACAACUAUCCCUAAGCUCCCUAAACAGAGGUGGGCAGUCUUCAACACCACAUAUCAGCCGAAUGCAAUUCUGUUCUAGUGGAUUCACAAAACUGACAUUUGUACCUCCAGUCAUGCAUCUCAAGCAAUUAACAGGUUUCAAUAAGUAUCAUGGUAUGAUUGUAAUUGGACUGUGGUGAUUUUAAAACAUUCAUACCUCACCAAGCUUCAUCCACCAUCUGGCUGAAAAAGUUCUCUGGAUACAAAGUCAUUGUUAUUGAAUAAGGGGAAAAUAUAUUAUCAUUUAAAGGGUUUAAGAUUCUAGGGGAUUUCCUACCACUCACUUAAGGCAAUGCUUGAAUUGAUGGUGCAAGAUUUCAAAAUGAUUUAAAGUUCAGUUGCUUUAGACUUAUGCCAUAUAUUCAAAGUAUGUAAUUUUUGCUUUCUUUGCUUUAAAGAUGGUUCAGUCUCAAUAAUCAACUACAUAAGAGUUGGCAUGGGAAUCCUCAUUGUUAUCCUCAUCUUCCUCAUUGUUGUUUUCCACUUCAGAUUCUGGAAGAAGAUUACAGCUGAUGGUAGUGAGACACAUGUCAUUGUGAUUCAGAAGGUACAUGAAUAUGAAAAUGUAAAUGCAACAAACAGAACUCAAGAAAAGAUUCCUGAUAGACCUGAUUGUAACCUGGAUAACCAAGGGGCUUCCCAGUGAAAUAUACAAUGAUCAGCACCCAACAGAACAUCUAUAGUUGAUAACAAAGGUCCUUCCAGCUACAGGCAUCCAUUGCUCUUAUCAACACAAAUGUUCUUCUGCCAUUUUCCUGUCCCAAUGCUGAAGAAUUCCAAUUAUUGGACAUUUAAGGACUGUAUUGAGUUUAAUUACUAUUACUACAUUGUGUAAAAAAACUUUACUCAUUCUGAUGUAGAAAACAGCAUUUUUGAUUAAUAGAAUAUGGUGCUUUGCAAACAAAUAGACAUUAGAAACAAGUAGGAUAACUCUUCAAUUGUAGAAACGGAUAAAACAACCAUGCUGUCA